UAAUGUUACUAGACAAAGACACUUUCGACGGUGUGUUUCAGCAAAGAUCGGAAAAUAAUGGUGUCCUCUAGCUAAUUUUUCCUCAGAUGAUUCUAACUGCUAAGAACUUGAAAGCUAGAAGAUGGCCCCAUGGAGUGUUUUGUAUUCUCUGCCAUUCUCGGCAAUCAUGUUUUUUUUAGAAUCUCGGCAAUCAUGUUUUUAUACGAUAGAAUUAUGGACUAUGUCAUAUGCUCUUGGGCCUUGGCACGGCCUGGUGCCGAGCUUCUUCGUUGGAGAAAGAACGGUAGAGAAAUGGUGAAACAAGGCACGUAGAAGGUUGCUCUCAAAAAAGAAAAAAAAGGCACGUACAAGGUUGAAUAGGGAAAGAGAAGAGGCUUCGAUGGUACAACGAUCUGCACCAUUUGGAACAUUUAUGAAAAGAUAGAAUUCGACGCAUCUUCAUCUUGAAUCCAUGGAGGCAGAAAACGUCGCCCCAUAGGGCGCAUGAGAAGUUUAAGUUGUAUUUUUACUUAUAAAGUUUGGAAUUGGUGGUCGUCAAUUCACUUCUUCCUGACAUUUCUCUUGUCACUCCUAGAUUGUACAAACCCAUGCAGGAGCGGAGCUACAGUGUUACCAUUGGGGGUUC
rnacentral:lncRNA from 1 species